rnacentral:rRNA from 2 species
GGUUGACCUCGGAUCAGGUAGGGAUACCA